rnacentral:rRNA from 1 species
UACGUAGGCAGCAAGCGUUGUUCGGAGUUACUGGGCGUAAAGAGUGCGUAGGCGGUGUCGAAAGUUUGGCGUGAAAUCUCCCGGCUUAACUGGGAGGGUGCGCCGAAAACUGCGGUGCUGGAGUGUGGGAAAGGCAAGCGGAAUUCCUGGUGUAGCGGUGAAAUGCGUAGAUAUCAGGAGGAACACCGGCGGUGUAGACGGCCUGCUAGACCAUAACUGACGCUGAGGCACGAAAGCGUGGGUAGCAAACAGG